rnacentral:rRNA from 1 species
UACGGAGGGGGCUAGCGUUGUUCGGAAUUACUGGGCGUAAAGCGCACGUAGGCGGCUUUGUAAGUUAGAGGUGAAAGCCCGGGGCUCAACUCCGGAAUUGCCUUCAAGACUGCAUCGCUAGAAUUGUGGAGAGGUAAGUGGAAUUCCGAGUGUAGAGGUGAAAUUCGUAGAUAUUCGGAAGAACACCAGUGGCGAAGGCGACUUACUGGACACAUAUUGACGCUGAGGUGCGAAAGCGUGGGGAGCAAACAGG